CCUACGGGAGGCAGCAGUGAGGAAUAUUGGUCAAUGGACGAGAGUCUGAACCAGCCAAGUAGCGUGAAGGAUGACUGCCCUAUGGGUUGUAAACUUCUUUUAUAUGGGAAUAAAAUGUUCCACGUGUGGGAUUUUGUAUGUACCAUAUGAAUAAGGAUCGGCUAACUCCGUGCCAGCAGCCGCGGUAAUACGGAGGAUCCGAGCGUUAUCCGGAUUUAUUGGGUUUAAAGGGAGCGUAGGUGGAUUGUUAAGUCAGUUGUGAAAGUUUGCGGCUCAACCGUAAAAUUGCAGUUGAAACUGGAAGUCUUGAGUACAGUAGAGGUGGGCGGAAUUCGUGGUGUGGCGGUGAAAUGCUUAGAUAUCACGAAGAACUCCGAGUGCGAAGGCAGCUCACUGGACUGCAACUGACACUGAGGCUCGAAAGUGUGGGUAUCAAACAGGAGUAGAUCCUGUAGUC
rnacentral:rRNA from 1 species